AGGAGCACAGACGAGAGAAACCAGAGCCCAGGUGCUGCUGUCCGGCCACAAGCUCCCAGGCAGAGCCUGCAAGGUGCCCGCUCUCCAGCAAGCCCAUGGCACUGCCAUCGAACGCCAGGCACGCAGCCCGCCAGGCACACGUGUGCUCUUAUCUCCUCCUCACCAGCGGAGAGCGAGCACGUGACACGCCCACCCUGCAGGUGGGAAACGAGGCACCAAGAGGUGACAGUGAGCUGGGCUCUGGGCCUGCGGUGCCACUUGCUUCUAGGCCACAGUACUGACGGGUGUGGGUCUCCAGCGGAAGCUCGUUGCAUCAUCCAACGCUGCGAAAGUAAAAGAAACGAACAAGAUUUGCAGCAUAAAACUGCCUGUGUACUCAGUACAUUCAGAGACACAGCCGCACGCAGUGUUUGGCUCGGACGCGGCACAGCGGCAGAGGAUCAGACUCAGGCAGGGACGGGAGCUGGGACAGAGACGGGAGCCCAGGACGGCUCUCGAGCGGGAACAGUGGCCCUCCAACCACGAAGCCCAACUUCAGGCCGGCACUCUCCCGGAACGGCGGUCGUGACCGCGUGACGAGGCGUGAGGGGCACUGCCCCUUCAGGUCCCACCCCUGCCUCUUAUCAGCUCCGAGAGACAUCGCGGGCCAACAGCCUCCCUGUGAAUGGGGCUAGUAAUCCGACGCGUGUCACAGGUUUGUCGAAAGCUCCUUAUACAACAUGACAAGGUCCAGAGGACUGGGUCUCUCCCUGCCCUUCUUAUAAAACCAUUUAGGAAGAGAGCAUGGGCUCUGGUCAGGAAGACCCUGGCCCCAGCUGUGAAGCACACAACAGCCCUGAGGGUCAGGUCAGAGGCCCCCAGGGAACAGAUACAGGAAACGCAGCCAGUCCUGGGCCAAGGCCACCCCACUAAAGCACCGAUGUGGGCUCCUCCCCGGCCUCCCCGAGCUGCUAGCCUGGCCUGCGUGUGGACCCUGGCGGAACUCCAGCCGCAGCCACUCCCCUCCAGCAUCCCCUGUGGUGCCCAGUGGGGGUGGCUGCCUCUCCACAGCCCGGCUGGUGACUGGCUCGGGACUGGGAUGCCCAGCAACGCUGUGGUGGAGGCAGCCCAGCCGGGCGGGUCCAUUGUGGAGGUGGAGCGGGUGCUGGGCCUGGACCUGCAGAGGGAGGAGCUGAAGGACCACUCUGCCAACCUGAGCAGCGGGUGCUCUGGGUUCAUCGGCGACUGGUCCUUAGACAAAGGCUGGGAGGACGAUCCCGGGGACUUUGGUCGGAGCAGAGGCCACACCGUCCCCGGCCCGUUGGGAAGGUCCACAUGCUGGCAUUUAGGGAAGAUGCCACGGGCAGGGCAGGGCAGGGCAGGGUGUGGCAGUUGUCCCCAGCCAGCGAACAGGAGGUCACCCCAUGUGAGUGCCCCUGCCAUUCUGUGUGACCUUGGGCCAGCUUCCUGCUCCACCUCCUUGUCCCUCCAGAGAUGAUCGCGUCUCAGGAUUCUCGGGGAGACCAACCGUCACAAGAGCACCUUGUGAGUCCACACCUGUCCAUCCAAGGCCAGUGCAGCAUCUAAGUGGGGUCCGUCCGGCACUGCAGAUGGAACUGUCCAAGCUGGAGACCAUGCCUGUCGGAGCUUCUCCUCCUGUCUCCCUGAACGGCCACUUCUCCCACCCGCUUCCUAGACCAGAAUCCAUUGACUCUUAAUCCCUUCCUAUUCCACUUCCAAAGUACAGCCUGCAUCCACCCACUGCCCUCACCUUGGCUUCUCUCACUGUCUUCCAAGCCACUUGAGCAGGAACCUCCCGUCUUGCCUCCUGGUACCACACCUGCUCCGAGUCCACCCUCGCACAGAACCUCCAUCAGAUCAGAUCACUUUCCUGCUCGAAGCACCUCUGUGCCUGCUCUGCUGUGGCCCUGCCCAUCUCACACCGGCCUUCUUUUUAUUCCUUGAGCAGCAUUUCAUACCUCAGGUCUUUGCUAUUCUGUUCCCUCUGCUUGACAUGCUGUUCCCUACACUCUUGGCUUGAUGAACUCCUACUCACCCUUCAGAUGUCACCCCAAACAGCCUUCUCUUGACCUCAACCUAAAUUUGGCCCUUAUGUUAUUUGUCCUGAUAGCAGGCAUGACUCCUCAUCACCGUUGAGUCAAGCUGACAUUUGACUUGCACGACUCUCAUUACUGCCUGUCCCCACUGCACUGUGCCCCCAAAGCAGUGUUAGAAAGAGAAACAGGCCCAAAUGGAAUCCCUGUUGCUCAGCCCCGUCUCCAAAGCCAAGCCACGUCGCCUGCCUGCCGGCCCAGCCUCUCCCGGGAGUGGAACUUAAACCCACCGCCUGGAACUCCCUGGUCAGCACUACUGGGGUCAUUCGCCUUCCCCGACAGGACGCUGUCCAGGCCUGAAAUAAUCCACUUGUUAACUUCUUAGUCCCACCCUCUUUCCGCCUAAAUAAACCUCCCCCUUUGGACAA